CUGCUUAGUUGUGGUGUUGGAGGACCAAGGAGCCAGGAAGGGCAGGUCCAACUGAAGAUCCUCUAUGGCAGGCACAAGCACCAGUGCCAAAGGAGGAUCCAGUGAGUGGUCACCAAACACCUAGAGAUCCUCUCCCAAAGAAACUAUGUGUGUCCAACCAAGUCCAUGUCUCAACAUCAGCUUCUGAGGGAAUGCAACUUAACACGAGGGGAUCCAUUGUGAAAAUAUAAAUUCUUUCAAAGUUUAUAAAAUGUGUAUAAAUUCCUGGAUGAUGCAUGAAGGAUUAUUAAGAAAUAAUAAAGAAUCCCUUGGCUAUUAGAUCUUAUAAAUUUAAAUAGAGCUUGCUCAAAUUCCAUGAGGACUUCUUUUGGAUCGCUUGCCACAAAGAUUACAUUCUCUUUGGAGUUCAGAUACCAUACAUCAAAACACUGGAGCUUUUGCAAGUUUUCUCUCAACAUGGGAAAUAUGUCCCCUACAAACUAAAGGCAAAGUCAAAAGAGCAGUAAACAACUUUCUAACUUUCUUCUCCAGGUUUCCUUUAUUAAA